AUCUCUAUUGAAGCAAGAAGACCCCCUGAAUUUAAGCAUAUAAUUAAGGGGAGGAAAAGAAACCAACUCGGAUUCCCCUAGUAAUGGCGAGUGAAGCGGGAAGAGCUCAUGUUGUAAAUCUCCAGCUUGCUGGCGAAUUGUAGUCUAAAGGUGCGUGCUCAGUCGUGGUCCCGGGCUAAGUCUGUUGGAAAACAGCAUCAUGGACGGUGACAAUCCGGUUCUUGCCUGGGGUCCCGCGGCGUACGAGCCGUUUCCGACGAGUCGUGUUGCUUGGGAUUGCAGCACUAAGUGGGUGGUAAAUUCCAUCUAAAGCUAAAUAUUGGUGGGAGACCGAUAGCGAACAAGUACCGUGAGGGAAAGAUGAAAAGACUUUUGAAAAGAGAGUAAAAUAGUACCUGAAACUGCUGAAAGGGAAGCGAUUGAAGUCAGUGUUGCUCCUGGUCUUUUUGCCGUCGCCCCCGUGGGGGUUGCGGCGUGGGGCCUGGAGCGUUUCAACAUGCGUUCUGUUCCGCGGGAAAUGUUCAGUGUGCUGGAACCUUCGGGGAAACGCACUGUUCUUGUCGUGGUUAGGACGGAGGACCUUUGCUCCUUUGACUGCGCGUUCCUCUCUCGGGUAUGCUGGUGUCUACUGCUUGCAGUUUUCAUUUUCAUGCUUGCGACUGUGCGUGUUAUUCAUGAGCGAACAUGAUGUUGAAGAAAUGGCUUUAAUUACCCCGUCUUGAAACACGGACCAAGGAGUCUAACAUACGUGCGAGUACUAUGGUGGCAAACCAUUGUGCGCAAUGAAAGUGAAGGCUGGCUUCCGUCAGCUGAGGUGGGAUCCGCAAGGAGCACCAUCGACCGACCAUGUCCCUUCGGGGUAAAGGUUUGAGUGUGAGCAUUUAUGUUGGGACCCGAAAGAUGGUGAACUAUGCCUGAAUAGGGCGAAGCCAGGGGAAACUCUGGUGGAGGCUCGUAGCGAUUCUGACGUGCAAAUCGAUCGUCAAAUUUGGGUAUAGGGGCGAAAGACUAAUCGAACCAUCUAGUAGCUGGUUCCCUCCGAAAUUUCCCUUAGGAUAGCUGCAACCGGUUAAGAGUUUUAUCAGGUAAAGCGAAUGAUUAGAGGAUUCGGGGACGGAAUGUCCUCGACCUAUUCUCAAACUUUAAAUGGGUAAGAACCCGGGGUUGCUUAAUUGAACCCUGCGGUCGAAUCUCGGUUGCUAGUGGGCCAGUCCGGGUAAGCUGGACUGGCGAUGCGGGAUGAUCCGAACGCUGAGUUAAAGUGCCUAACUGCUCGCUCACCUAGAUCCCACAAAAGGUGUUGGUUCAUCCAGACAGCAGGACGGUGGCCAUGGAAGUCGGAAUCCGCUAAGGAGUGUGUAACAACUCACCUGCCGAAUGAACUAGCCCUGAAAAUGGAUGGCGCUCAAGCGUGCUACCCAUACCUCGCCGCCGGGGUAGAAACGAUGCCCCGGCGAGUAGGCUGGCGUGGAGGCCCGUGACGAAGCCUAGGGAGUGAUCCCGGGUAGAACGGCCUCUAGUGCAGAUCUUGGUGGUAGUAGCAAAUACUCAAAUGAGAACUUUGAGGACUGAAGUGGGGAAAGGUUCCAUGUGAACAGCAGUUGGACAUGGGUUAGUCGAUCCUAAGGGGCAGGGAAACUCCGUUUUAACGUGCGCACUUGUGCGCCGCUCCCCGAAAGGGAAACCGGUUAACAUUCCGGUACCUGGAUGUGGAUUCUCCACGGCAACGUAACUGAAGGCGGAGACGUCGGCGGGGGCCCUGGGAAGAGUUCUCUUUUCUUCUUAACGGUCCAUCACCCUGAAAUCGGUUUGUCCGGAGCUAGGGUUUAACGGCCGGUAGAGCCCCGCACCUUUGCGGGGUCCGGUGCGCUCCCGACGACCCUUGAAAAUCCGCCGGAAGGAAUAGUUUUCACGCCAGGUCGUACUCAUAACCGCAGCAGGUCUCCAAGGUGAAAAGCCUCUAGUUGAUAGAACAAUGUAGGUAAGGGAAGUCGGCAAAAUAGAUCCGUAACCUCGGGAAAAGGAUUGGCUCUAAGGGUUGGGUGCGUUGGGCCUUGGGCAUAAGCCUCUGGAGCAGGUUGGCACUAGCCGGGCAACCGGCCGG
rnacentral:rRNA from 1 species